rnacentral:rRNA from 1 species
GACGAACGCUGGCGGCGUGCUUAACACAUGCAAGUCGAACGAUGAAGCCGGAGCUUGCUCUGGUGAAUUAGUGGCGAACGGGUGAGUAACACGUGAGUAACCUGCCCUUGACUCUGGGAUAACUGCUAGAAAUGGUAGCUAAUACCGGAUACGACCCUCGGCGGCAUCGCCAGGGGGUGGAAAGAAUUUCGGUCAAGGAUGGACUCGCGGCCUAUCAGCUAGUUGGUGAGGUAACGGCUAACCAAGGCGACGACGGGUAGCCGGCCUGAGAGGGUGACCGGCCACACUGGGACUGAGACACGGCCCAGACUCCUACGGGAGGCAGCAGUGGGGAAUAUUGCACAAUGGGCGCAAGCCUGAUGCGGCAACGCCGCGUGAGGGAUGACGGCCUUCGGGUUGUAAACCUCUUUUAGUAGGGAAGAAGCGAAAGUGACGGUACCUAAAGAAGAAGCACCGGCUAACUACGUGCCAGCCGCCGCAGUAA